ensembl:lncRNA
GUGCACAGCUCCUACAAAUAGGUCAUUUUACCCCAUAAAUAAGUGGUUGCAAGGGAACACGAGGUCCUAAUAUCUAAUAUAGAUAAGAACCUUCCGGUUGUUUUCUGUGUUAGCCCUGCAACAGGCUGGCGACUUUAGUUUUGAGUUUACUAGUGUCACAUCCGAGACCAGAAUUUUUAUUUUAUUUUAUCAGUCUCUAAAACAGUUUAUAGUGUUGCUGUGCAGAACUUUGAAUGGGGAGAGGAUGACUCACUUUGUUAAAUGCUUGUUGCCUUAAAAUCUCAGAAGCAAAGAGAAGAAUCUAAAAAAUUGAGAGAGGGGCUUGUCUCUGCUUUUUCCCCUUCUGCCUAACACGACCUGCUACAGCACGGGUGUCAAACGUAAGGCCCGGGGGACAGAAUAAGCACAGUCCACUGGACUGCUUUGGAAAAUGCCAAGAAAGGCAUACAUUUUUUUCCACAGGUUUUACAGCUUUUACUACUAUUAGAGACCUCUUCCAUUCAUACACAAAAAGUUAAACAGUUAAACUGUAUACAAAUUUCAGUUUUUGUUGUUUUUUUUGACAAUGGGUUCACAGUUUUGUUUUUUUGUUUUUUUAAAAAGGUACCUUUUUAGCUCCAGGAUUAAAUGUACAGUUAAACCUCUGCAUAAUGACAGAAAGGAGAAUUUACCUGGUCUGGCUCACUUAAAAUUAAAGUGGGCUGUAUGUGGCCCACAAUGUAACAUGAAUCCCUGUUCUACACCUGCAGAGAUUCCUCUGGGCUUAAAGGGUGUUUUUAAAAUCUCCUCAGUCUUGGAAAGUUCUUGCUUACAGAGCACCAGUGGGUUUCUCUCUUUAAUAUUGAAAGGUUUUUACCUUAUGAACAGAUGACUGUUAUGAAUUAGUAGUACAUGAAUAUAGUUGAACUGAACUGAACUAGUGUGCCACAAGAAAGUUGCAGUCAAAAUCCAGGCUGCAAAGCAAGGUUUACAUAUAGAACAGGUCACUACCAAAGUAACAUGCUACAAUACGCUACUGUUGUUUCG